GAUGAACGCUGGCGGCGUGCCUAAUACAUGCAAGUCGAGCGAAUGGAUUAAGAGCUUGCUCUUAUGAAGUUAGCGGCGGACGGGUGAGUAACACGUGGGUAACCUGCCCAUAAGACUUGGAUAACUAUUGGAAACGAUAGCUAAUACAAGAUAACAAUAUUUAACACAUGUUAGAUAUUUAAAAGAUGCGUUUGCAUCACUUACAAAUGGGCCUGCGCAGCAUUAGCUAGUUGGUAGAGUAAUGGCCUACCAAGGCGACGAUGCUUAGCCGGUCUGAGAGGAUGAACGGCCACACUGGGACUGAGACACGGCCCAGACUUCUACGGAAGGCAGCAGUAGGGAAUUUUCCGCAAUGGACGAAAGUCUGACGGAGCAACGCCGCGUGAACGAUGAAGGCCUUCGGGUUGUAAAGUUCUGUUAUAAGGAAAGAACACACUAAUAAGGAAAUGUAUUAGUAUUGACGGUACCUUAUCAGAAAGCCACGGCUAACUACGUGCCAGCAGCCGCAGUAA
rnacentral:rRNA from 1 species